CCUCCAUUUGAGGUGAUGGUGGUAUUUCGGUGGCUUUCCCAGACAGAACCACUGGCGCCACUAUCUUUGGAGUGAAGUUUAGAGUAAACAAAUAACAGGAUUAAUGUAGUUUCAUUAACAGCGUAAGAGGACAGCAAGUCUAAGAGAUGGUAUUGUAUCCCUAGCCUCAAGCUCUGAGUCAGAGAAGAAUGAGUCCAUAUAUUACUGGGCUGCUGGGGAAUGAGAACAGAUUUCCAAACCAUGAUGUUGAACCUGAACUUAGUGAUCUAAGGAACAUCAGCAUGGUGGAGAGCUUAGUCUGUCCUAUAAGAAUCUAAAAGAUGCAUGGAUCUUCUCUACUCUCUUGGCGCUCCUUCAAGGAGCAGUGCUAAAGAACUGCCAAUUACCUUCAAAGGGACUCAGAAAGUUCAGAUGUGGUGCUGUGAUGGAGCGAGUAAAAAGGUUCUCUCAGAACCGACUAAGCUUUCACCUUUCACCACUCCAUUCAGAGAAGAGGAUGACUCCUUUGUAAUAAGAGUUAAGAUUGUGGGAGAAGAAAUCCUUGAACAUGUAACAAAAUUUAAGGAGGAUUUUAGCUGGCUUUGUAGUCUAACCCCGAGCAUGAAAUAAGUAAACAAAAAGGUCCACAUCAAAGAAAAAAUACAAAGACUUUACCAGUGGCUGAACCUGCAAUGAAAGGGACCACUUUGACCAGGGACCACAUUAAUCUGGGACCACUUUGACCAGGUACCACUCUCCAACGUUAGUACCAAAAGGGUUACAAAUUAGUUUUUGGUCAACUUUUGAUUUGGUUUGGUUAUUUGGGGUGCUGAUUCAGAAAAUUGCAUUGGAUAGACCACAUCAGCUCUAAUUUUUGAUACAGAACAUAUGCCAUCCAAUAAUUGCCAUCUGCUGGUCCACAGAAAACCAUAUUUAAUCAUGUAGAGCACCCCAAAUAACCCCAGGAAGAGGCCUAAAAACAAAGACACCAAGGCCCCACUUCCAGGUGCCACAUGGAAUGGCUCCGCUCAGGGGGAGGGAGGAAGAGGAGAAGCAGCAGUCAGGAGGCUUGUUGUGCCUUUUGUGGGUAGUCAGCCUCUCCCCUCUCAACAUCCCCGUUGCCUCAGCACUACAAGAGAAUUUCAUGAGACCAGUCCCUCUCGUUACAACAGUGUAGUAACGGUGAGGCUGCGGAUGACAUUUUAGUUCUUGGAGACCACUGAUGGUCCAUGAAUCACAAGUUGAGAACCACAGUUCUAGAAGAACUAGGCUGCUAAACGAGUCAGGGGAAGAGGGACUUGGUUGUGGAUACAAGAGUAUAUCUUCAAACAUCAUAUAAUGACCAUAUAAUGGACAUGGUAGAAGACAAAAAGAAAUACUAAAUUGUGAAUGAUUAGCUAUUUUUAUCACCCAAAAUUAUGGUCCUUCUAUUUAUACUCCAAAUUGCUACUCUGAAUUGCCUGUUUAAUGUACUUAGUAGUAAAGCCAACUUAAUUACUACACAUAUUAUGCAACUACCAUGUUUCCCCGAAAAUAAGACAGUGUCUUUUAUUAAUUUUUGCUCCCAAGGAUGCGCUAGGUCUUAUUUUCAGGGGAUGUCUUAUUUUUCCAUGAAGAAGAAUUCACAUUUAUUGUUGAACAAAAAAUGAACAUUAUAUACUGUACAGUAGUUGUCAUAACAAACCAGCAUAACCAGACAAACUGUAAAUCCUAUCAAGAAUUUCUUGUUAUUACCAUUAUUUCCAUGUACAACACUCUAUGGUAUGUACAUUUACCGAUCCUGCAUGCUCUGGGGUUCUGUUCAUUGGGCAUGCUUCCAAACAAAAACUUUGCUAGGUCUUACUUUCAGGGGAAGCCUUAUAUUUAGCAAUUCAGCAAAACCUCAACUAGGUCUUAUUUUCCGGGGAUGUCUUAUUUUCAGGGAAACAGGGUAGUAGUAUACACUGGUGGUUUCAUAUGCCUUCUAUGGACAUAAAAUGGAAUAGUCUUCCAAGCAAACUCUCUUCCAAAUCUUGGUUUGUGUUGAACUUAUGAUUUUAUCUGCACCUGAAAUGCUUUGCAAAAGCAUACAUGGGUUUAGGGAGGGGGUGUUCAGAAGGAACAGAUUGACAGCUGCCAUAUCUGCUUUGCAGGGUGAGUCAGCUACAGAUUGGGAAUUGUCCCCCACCCCACCUCUUCCUUCAGUAUUGGUAGGGCCUAUUUCUCUAUAGAAAUCUCAUUGGCGUUUCACGUUGUAAUGAAGAACAAUGUUUGAACAGACAAAGGAGCUUCUAGUUUAUUAUUGUGCUGUCCUGAACUAGGACUAGAUGCUGGGAAAAAUGGUAAUUCACAGUGUGAAUUCUUCUCUUCCCGUGAUGUGGGCUAAAGCUCAACCCCAACCAUGUAUAUAUUGCCUGAAAUACAAUGGUGCACAUUGUAAGAAAAGCACAAAUUAUAGUAUUCCCCCCCUUUUUCAAUAGCCAAGUAAUUACAGGCCUUUCAUUAAAAAUAAGAAGAAUAAGAAUACAGUUCAAAUAGACUCAACAGACUAAAUUGUAUUGUGGGAAGUAGUCAAUAAGGUUAGUUUGCAAACUGUAAAUUUUUAAAAAGCAACAAUGUUCUCCAAGUGUUGCCUUGCAAACCAAACCCAAAGAUUUCUGUGAUUCCCUAUAACGGAAAUACAGAGCAAACACCAUCCUCCGCCUUUACUAUGACAUGCUACACAGGGUUGUUACAGGUUUAAUAAUGUUCACGGAAAUGGAAAGCACAGAAUGUCUUUUGUAAAUGAUUCUUUUCCACAAGGGGGUUUAUCAUCCAAAGAGAAAAGUUGGGAAAUGUUUCCCCUCCUAUCUUAGCCUGUGCGAAUGUCUCUGUUCCCCAUCUUUGCUGAGCUUUGGGGAGUACUCAGCUAGUAUGUUUUAUUGUAUUGGGAAAAGAGAGGCAGAAAUCCAAAAGAGACUGAGAAAUUGUAGGAGGGUGAGGGAUAAAAGAGGAAGGGAUAUCUCAAACAAGCAAGUUAGGCGUUUUGAUUCAAUAUUCUGAUAUUCUUAUCGAGGCUUUCCAGCGUGUGGCACGAAUGCAAAGUGCAAAGAAUGAGGAGAAAGUGACAAACAUGUAUCCAUGUCUUUCUAGCUGCACAAUGAUCCCUCCUACUCCUCCAAAUAUUUUCAGUAUUAUGGUGCAAAUAAAAAGCUGAGAAAAAUUAUAGGCCAGUGUAUUUUAGACUUCAACAAUAGAAAGGAUUUUUUUUAAGCCUACAACUCUCUGUCUUAAUUUAUUGAACCUAAGCCAGAUUUACUCAAUUAAGAUAAUACACUUCAAGGUUAACUAUCAUUUGCUGUUACUUACAUAACCUAUUGUAUGAUUAUGUAAAUUUCAGAAACGGAACACUACUAGAGUGUCUUAAUUACAGGCAAAAAAGGGGAGAGAGUGUCAUUUAAAUAUGAAUAAGUGAAUUGUUGCUUGUAUUUCCUGCUCACUGUGCUAGAUCUUUAAUGUGCAGUAAGAAGACAGGUUGUCUGGAUUGAUUCCUUAUCUUUCCCCUUUGUAAGCACAUAUAUCUCACGGUAGGUUGAAAAAAGUAAAACCAAUAGAACAAUAGUAGAAUAAUAAAAAGCUUGGACAACUGAUUUUAGCUACUUGCUGUAUUAAUAAAAGAAGAAUGUUGCUGUAAUUCCAUGUUUAACUACUAUUAAUAUAUAGGUUUUUAUUCUUUAAAAAUCUGGAAUUGCAUAUAUAUUUGUUUAAUCAAUGGAACCACAUUUAUUUUCUUUACAAAUUACUUUGUUAAGGAGAUGCUGGGAAACUGAGAAUUAAAAGUUGAAUUCUGCAUAAACAUAGUUUCCCCGUGAAAUUCACUGCUUCAAAAACAAACAAACAAACAAACAAAAAAGGACUACAGUAUUCCCUCACUACUUCGCUGUUCACUUUUCGCAGAUUCGCUGUUUUGUGUUUUUUCAAUAAGCUCUAAAAGACUAUUAUAAAUCGUAAAAAAAAAAUACAAUUUACAGCCUAAGGAAGGGAGGAAGGAGAAGCCAAAGGGAGAGAAAAGGAGCCCAAGCAGCAACGGGAGGAGAAGGAGGCGAUUUAUCAACACAUGAUUGGUUGAUAAAGACUUAAAAUAGUGUAUAACUACUAAAAUAAUGUAUAAAUAUUAAGAUAAAUAUA